rnacentral:tRNA from 1 species
GGAGUGGUAGUUCAGUUGGUUAGAAUACCGGCCUGUCACGCCGGGGGUCGCGGGUUCGAGUCGUCACGCCGGGGGUCGCGGGUUCGAGUCCCGUCCACUCCG